UCCAUUGAACCUUAUCAUUUAGAGGAAGGAGAAGUCGUAACAAGGUUUCCGUAGGUGAACCUGCGGAAGGAUCAUUGUCGAGACCGAAAUAUAGCGAGCGAUUCGGAGAACCUGUCAAAUAAGCGAAGGCAAUUGCUGCCGUCAAAAAAGCCAUCCUAGUUGUUGCCCCAUCCACUUGGGGCGGGGGCGCGAUGAAGGAUGGAUGAACGCUCAAACCGGCGCAGCUUCGCGUCAAGGGGAUAUUGAAACACGAGCCCCUCAUCGGGUUCUGUGGCAUGGGGUGCUGUUGCACGCCAUAUGAAUCGACAUGACUCUCGACAAUGGAUAUCUCGGCUCUUGCAUCGAUGAAGAGCGCAGCGAAAUGCGAUACGUGGUGCGAAUUGCAGAAUCCCGCGAACCAUCGAGUCUUUGAACGCAAGUUGCGCCCGAGGCCAACCGGUCGAGGGCACGUCCACCUGGGCGUCAAGCGUUGCAUCGCUCCGUGCCAGCUCCAUCCCGUCAAUGGGCAGGGUGGCGAAGGCUCGGAUGUGCAGAUUGGCUCGUCGUGCCCAUCGGUGCGGCGGGCUGAAGAGUGGGUUAUCGUCUCGUUGGCCGCGAACAACAAGGGGUGGACGAAAGCAAGGCCUACGUUGUUGUAUCGUGUUUGCUCGAGAGAAGAUUAUACCUUUAAGGUGAUCCCGAACCACGCGUCGAUCCACGGACGGCGGCUUGGAAUGCGACCCCAGGAUGGGCGAGGCCACCCGCUGAGUUUAAGCAUAUCAAUAAGCGGAGGAGAAGAAACUUACGA
rnacentral:rRNA from 1 species